rnacentral:rRNA from 1 species
UACAGAGGUCUCAAGCGUUGUUCGGAUUCAUUGGGCGUAAAGGGUGCGUAGGCGGCGCGGUAAGUCGGGUGUGAAAUCUCGGAGUUUAACUCCGAAACUGCAUUCGAUACUGCCGUGCUUGAGGACUGGAGAGGAGACUGGAAUUUACGGUGUAAGCGGUGAAAUGCGUAGAUAAUCGUAAGGAAGACCAGUGGCGAAGG